AUCUGACUUACCACAGCAUCUCAUAGAGAUGGAAGCUUGCAAAGAAGAUAGAGACUUCUUGUAUCUCUGGUUUAUUAUCUCUAUGACACUCACCUCAUCAUUGCAAGGAAUCAGACAAAAAGUAGCCUAGAGGGACACAUAGAUUGCUAAAGCUAAGUAUUAAUAACCUUCAUCCUCUAAAACAAAACAAAAACCAAACCUAACAAAACAAAGCUGCUAACACCUCAAGAAUUCUGAUUUUUGCUUGUAGCUUAGUCUUGCAAUGAGAAAUUUAAUGGCAGAUAACCUUUUCCUCUUACAGACUGACAACACUGGAGAUGUAACUAGAAUCUUUCAGUUGUCAGCAAACUGUUUUGGUGUAUUUUGUUUUCUUGUCAAUAUACAUAUAGCUGCCAAUGUAAUGAUUUGGGGAGAUGCAAAAACUCACUGAAGAUUUAUCCUUCACACUAGAAUUUAUUUUCCAUACCAAGGAAGCAAAUGGUGAGACAGUCAAGGGCAAGAAGAUUGGUGUUUGUGAAGAAGCAUAAGAAUGGUAUGGAGAAGGAGAUUAGCAUAAUGCAUUUUGGUGGGAGUUCUUUUCCAAUGUAGCUCAUCUAUGUGGGAAGUUCAUUACAAUAUUUCUUUUAUAACUUAUGUCUCUUUCAGGAUAACAGAAUAAAACAAUUGAUGGUGGAGCAGUAGCUCUUUUCUGUGUCACUGUGAAAGAUCACUAAACACUCUAUCUCUAAUUCUCAUUCCAGUUACUUAUUAUAUAUUAAAAAAAUGAGCCUCUUCAGAGCUUGUUUUAAGUCAAAGGUUCAUGUGCCACAUAUUGUAGCAAUCUCCACGUGUACAUUUUAAGUCCUUCUUGAUCUGAUGAUUAUAAUGCCCUGGAGAGACAAAAUGGGUAAAUAAUUCAACAUCGUGAAUAUUAAUGGUUAACAAUUUCAUCAGGACGUGAUAUUCCCAUAUUGAAAGUAGGUGAGCUGAAAGAAUGUGGUUGAUUGUAUUAGCCUGUCAGAAAGAUAAAGGCAGUUGCAGAGCUUUUAUAAUAGUUCGAAUUAUGGAAGAACCAUAAAACUAUAGAUAUUUCUUGUGCUUUUCCUGAUUCCAAAAUAUUUAUCGAUUCAGAGAAGAGCCCAUGGAAGACCAGUGAAAUCAUCUGUUAUAACCAGUCAGGAUAGCAAGAUAGCAGCAGGAGAGCAGGCUGUGCUAUUGCUGGGAAAUGAGGAAAACAAAUCUAAUUAAAGUAAAACCCCAAUUACUAAUGCUGUUUUUCAAAAUCACACAUCCACUUGUAUUCCAAGGCCUCUGCUUUGCUCUAUUAUGGAAACCCUUGCAAAGGAAACCACCUUUAAGAUGCUACCAAGGUGGACAGUGGGUUCAGCUCCCACUUUGUGUAUAUGUGCAUGGCCAUCUCAGAGACAAGCAGAGGAGAAGCAGAUUCUCAAGUUCUUCACCAGCACGUCAAAUAAUGUUCUAAGACAUGAUUAUUAAAGAAAGAUUCUCCUCUUUCCUUUCCUGCUGUUUACUUGGAAUUUUCAAAGAGAUGUUCAAGGGGUUUAAGAUGCAAUCUAAAUCCUUGAAAAGUAGAAUCAGCCAGUAAAUUGGCAGCGUUUCCCAGACUCCAGUGGACAAUGAAAGAUACCCUAUAUCUCAUGUGAUUUGAAAGGAGUAUCUGAAUACACCCAAUGUCUCCAAAAGCAGGUUUACAACCUUUGGCACCUGAGUUCCCCAGAUAUCACGCACUUGAAUAAAAGUCUCACAAACCUAUCAUGAAGGCAUCCCAAACACCCAAUCUGAGCUGCUCAGAUCAAAGAUUAAGGAGGAAAGCAAGAGUGAGAGAAAGUGUAAAAAGAAGUCAUAUAAGGGAUACUUGUACUGCCUACCACAUGUCUUGAAGAGAUAGAGGAUUUCUAAUCAUUUACUGUCCUGUCACCACUGGAAGAUCAUGAACCUUCUGAAGUAUGGCAGACCACUGCAGACUAGUAAUCUGGCAGAAGGUCACAUCAGAGAAGUGCAAUAAUAAAGUGUCUGGGACAGUAGCCUGACAUUUGUGCUAAUAAACAUUAUCAACAACAUCAGCAAGACUUCAGAAAAACUCCUGAAUUUCACUUGUCAGACUUGUUAGCAAGAAGUAUCGGGAAACAUUUUAGACCAAUGUGUUCCUGGGUGAGGUCAUCAGCUCCAGGAAUUCUUAUGCUUCAGGCAUAAUUUAAUUUCAUCUACAUCCCUCAUCUUCUUCAUCACAUAAAUUAGAGCUUGAAGAAGACUCCCUAGUCACAAGAUUGCUAUACAUUUUCAAGACCUUCCCAGUGCUCAUUUAAAGAGAGAAAGUUCAGGCAAUGACAUUUGUACUGUUUCUUUCAGGAAACCAUUUCUCCUUUAUAAGGAAAUAAAACUCCCUUGAACAAUUCUUCAAUAGCCCCUUAUGGCAGUGACUGCUAUUGUGAAGUUCUGUUGCAGUGAGCAGGAAGCGAAUUAUCCCCCCCUUACAAUUUCCACUGGUGUAACCAAGUGCAUACAGUGCAGUGUGAUGUAGAAUCUGACCCCUAAGAUUACAUUUAAGAAAUGUGCUCUAAGAGUUCAAUGUCUCUGUAUUUUUACUUUCUCUUUUUUUUAUUCUGUUACAGAUCCUGUCCAUUUGUGAAGUCUAAAACUCUUCAGGAGCUGUGGUCAUACACCACAGUGGCCACUGUGCAUAGAGCCAAACAGUUUGAGUCUGAGUAGAGGAAGACAUUUUCAAAGAACUUAAAAACAGUUUCUUCAAAGAUUUUGCUAACCAGUAAACUGAAAUUUUAAACAUGCAGGAGUAGGAAGUAAAAUAGAAAAGCCACAUUAGUUCUCCUAACAGCUUUCUCCUGGUCUACAGCAGCAAAUCUUUUCCUACAGCCAAAAUAAACAGCUCAAUAAAAGGAAAAAAAUAAUAACAAUAAUUGAUGCUUGAUGUUAUAUAACCCAUAUACUAAGUGGAUUGAGCUGAAUAAGCAAUGCCAUGCAUGAGUUCUUCAGCCUCCUCUACAUUAUCCAUAUUCUGUCAUACGUACACAAUUCAGAUUAUGGAUAUAGGCAUCCCCUUCAAACUCACCAAAGGCUUCAGUUCUCAUUUUGGAGCCUACUUGUAUCUUGUGGCUUUGACACAUGCUAAACCAAAUAUCAGGUAUGGGCAGAUAAUCACAAACAAUUGAGCUUCCAUAGCUUAGUAGGCCGCCAUUUGUCACUGAGCUGCAGCGUCUGACUGUAUGUGGAUAUGUCACCUAACACAUAGGUAGGACAAAAAAGCACUAGCUUAAAUCCCUGCAAAGGUCACAUUUGCUAUUUUAUUGAGAUGAGGCUCAGUGAAAUAAAAUAACACACUUUACUUUUCACUUGUAACGGACAAGGAGCAUUCAUGUAACUAGUUAGCAGCUGUCUAUCAGCUGAGGUAAAUGGUUGUCCCUCAGUAGCUUGGUUGCUACCGUUAGUCCUGUUGUACCCAUAGCUUGGAAGAGGCUGGAGAUGGACUAUACACAGACCUAAUGCCAUGAAAACUUACUGAAAAGAGGGCACAGAGAAAGAAUUACUCCCUUUUACUCUGACAAAUCCUUCCAGCACAGCACUCAGUUAUGGUUUUGAAUCACACCCUGAGCAAGAGGGGACAACAGACACCUGCAUGGCUUGUUCUCACCUAGCUUUACACUGUGACCACUGAGGCAUGUCUGUUUUACUUAUUCAUACAUUGCUGAGGGUAUGUCAGGUAAGUUAUUGGAGCCAAACAAAGCCUGCCUGUUUCACAAAUUGGGAUUACUGGCUGAAGCUUUCUCAUAUCACCUCUAACCACUGAGGUCUCAGGAUAGCGUCAGUGAUGAUUACUGGGCUAUAAAACAAGCUGUCAAAGCUGUUAUAAUGAGGGGUUAAAAUAAUAUACACUCUGUAUUGAAUAAUUGCUAUAAAUGCCCUGAGGCGUAAAAAUAUUGUUUGAGAUGUUGUAAAUAAUGCGGCUGGAUUUAAUUGCAAUUUGAAACGUCUGUUCUGUUUUUUGUUUGUUUGUGUGUUUGUUUGUUUUUGUUUUUGUUUUUUUUCUUGUAUCUUGGCCCUAAGUGUUUUUUUGGGCCUGCUCCUCAGCCAGUGUUUGCCACAAAAGUAAAAGUACCUCAGCAUACAGCAUAUAUCUGGGUCAAUCUGAGGUCAAAGUUCAACUAAAGGAGGCAGCAGGCAGUAAAUACAAAUGAAAGACAUCACUAUGAUAGACAAAACUGAUCUGCAUUAAUAUGAACAAGGUUGACUGAUAGUGAAUACAUUUCCAAGACACAGGGUCAGCUUUGGUGCAUCAGCCAGGCUGAGGGUCUAAAUGAGAUGCAUUGCUGCAAGCAGCUCUUGGGCAAAAAUCCCCAAAUAGCUAUGAUCUCAUAGAACAGACUUAUCAGUUAUGGUAAUAAAAUCAUCCUGAGAGUAACUCUCCGUUAGCCUUUUCAAAUAUUUUCUAUCACUGUCAAAGGAAGUGCUAUUUCCUUCCUUUUUAUAACUUUUUUUCCUCAAGAUUAAUACUUCAGUUUACUUCCAUCAGUGAGGAUUGCUCUCCCAUUUCAUUCUUUCCUCUCCGUAAUUUUUUUGCUAUUAAGCAGAUGUCUUUAACAGGAUAUGUGUGUUUCUUUAUCUAUAGUAUAACGUAGUGGAAGUCUGUGUUUAGAGGGCACAUUUUCAGGAAAAAUACAACAGGAGGUAUUCCUGAUGGGAAUGUGACUUCUUACAUUUUUUUUAAACAUAGAUUUCCUUUUAAUUUUAAGCCCAGUGGUGGGCCAGGACUGUAGAGAGUUCUGACAGGCACUAACUCUGUACAGCUUAACUCUAGGCAGACAGGAGCAGCUGCUCCAUGAGCCUACCUGCGAGGCAGGUUUUCAGUGUAGCUCCCUGGGGUGCUGUAGAAAUGAGUCGUAAAAAAAACACAGGCACAAAACUUGGGUCUUAGUACUCAGCAUCUGGCUGCAGGACUCAGCACUAAGCUUAGCAGACAGAUUUGCAGGGAAGCACGCUGGAAAAAUACCUCAUCAUUAGACAACAACAACAACAACAACAACAAUAUCAACAAAAACAAAACAGGGGCAGUCAAAAGAGUCUGGAUAAAAACAGAGUGGGAGGCAGAAGUUGUACCAUAUCUGAUUUCAUUUCCCAUCAUUUAAUAGAGGUCUGGAGAAUGAGGAAAGUGUGAUGAAAUAUUAAACAGCAACACACAAGUCUUAUGUAGUUGGAGUGCAAAUGACUAGUGACAUAAGACGUUCCAUUAAAUGAUGUCCAUGAAAAGCAAGCACAUAGUGAAUCAUCCAUCCACAUAGGCUUGCAAUAAGAAUGCUGCAGAACUCAUCUCUGGACUGAUAUUGCUGCCAUUUAAUGUAGUUUCUAGCAAGUCAUUUAUCAUAUUUAUGGCUACAUCUACCCCUUUUUACUAUGUUCUUUUUUCACGAGUUCUCCUAGAGAAAGGCUAUUCCACAGCUUUAUGAAGCCAUGAACUGGAGAAUAAUGCAUGACCUAAAGCAAAUGGAGGUGAAUGAUGCCCACAUUAUACUGGUUUUCCAGACCUGUCAAAGAAUUCCCAAUACAUCAAGUAGUGUUGACCAACUUUGCUUUGCCUAUGGUCUCCAGAACAGAUGCACGUGUUUCAUACAAGUCAACGACCCCACUGGAAUCACAACUAUAGCCACAAAAAGUGUUCUGAAUAAUGGAGGACAAACGGGCAGUUCAGCCUGGUGGAUGAUCUACAUUUGUCCGUACAACUACUCUUCCACCAACUUGCAUGCCAUUUUGGAAAUCAUCAUUCUAGUGAGCAUUUUAUUAGAGGUGAUAUUCUGUUUGCUUCUGUACCAUUGACUACCACAAGAUUUUGCAGUGUUUUCAGAGAUGAU